rnacentral:rRNA from 1 species
CGUAAGGUGACUGCGGAGGGAUCAUUACACAAUAAAAUACGAAGGCCGUUCGCGGCUGGACUAUUUAUUACCCUUGUCUUUUGCGCACUUGUUGUUUCCUGGGCGGGUUCGCUCGCCACCAGGACCACAAUAUAAACCUUUUUUAUGCAGUUGCAAUCAGCGUCAGUAUAACAAAUGUAAAUCAUUUACAACUUUCAACAACGGAUCUCUUGGUUCUGGCAUCGAUGAAGAACGCAGCGAAAUGCGAUACGUAGUGUGAAUUGCAGAAUUCAGUGAAUCAUCGAAUCUUUGAACGCACAUUGCGCCCUUUGGUAUUCCAAAGGGCAUGCCUGUUCGAGCGUCAUUUGUACCCUCAAGCUUUGCUUGGUGUUGGGCGUUUUUGUCUUUGGCCCGCCAAAGACUCGCCUUAAAAUGAUUGGCAGCCGGCCUACUGGUUUCGCAGCGCAGCACAUUUUUGCGCUUGCAAUCAGCAAAAGAGGACGGCAACCCAUCAAGACUCCUUCUCACGUUUGACCUCGGAUCAGGUAGGGAUACCCGCUGAACUUAAGCAUAUCAAUAAGCGGAGGAAA